rnacentral:rRNA from 1 species
UACGGAGGGGGCUAGCGUUGUUCGGAAUUACUGGGCGUAAAGCGCACGUAGGCGGCUUUGUAAGUUAGAGGUGAAAGCCCGGGGCUCAACUCCGGAAUUGCCUUUAAGACUGCAUCGCUAGAAUUGUGGAGAGGUAAGUGGAAUUCCGAGUGUAGUGGUGAAAUGCGUAGAGAUGCGGAGGAACACCAGUGGCGAAAGCGACUUUCUGGUCCUUAACUGACGCUGAGGCGCGAAAAGCAUGGGGGAGCGAACGGG